rnacentral:lncRNA from 1 species
AUGCUAACUAAAGGAAAAGUUCAGUUUAGGGUUUAAAACCCUAAUGCUGACUAAAGGGAAAAAGUUCAGUUUAGGGUUUAAAACCCUAAUGCUGACUAAAGGAAAGAGUUCAGUUUAAGGUUUAAAACCCUAGUGCUGACUAAAUGGAAAAAGUUCAAUUUAGGGUUUAAAACCCUAAUGCUGACUAAAGGGAAAAAGUUCAGUUUAGGGUUUAAAACCCUAAUGCUGACUAAAGGGAAAAAGUUCAGUUUAGGGUUUAAAACCCUAAUGCUGACUAAAGAAAAAGUUCAGUUUAGGGUUUAAAACCCUAAUGCUGACUAGAGGAAAAGUUCAGUUUAGGGUUUAAAACCCUAAUACUGACUGCAUGGAAAAGCUCAGUUUAGGGUUUAAAACCUUAAAGCUGGCUGAAUGGAAAAAAAGUUCAGUUAGGGUUUAAAACCCUAAUGCUGAUUAAAGGAAAAAGUUCAGUUUAGGGUUUAAAACCCUAAUGCUGACUAAAGGAAAAGUUCAGUUUAGGGUUUAAAACCCUAAUGCUGACUGAAAGGAAAGAGUUCAGUUUAGGGUUUAAAACCCUAAUGUUGAUUGCAUGGAAAAGCUCAGUUUAGGGUUUAAAAACCUAAUGCUGGCUAAAUGGAAAAAUGUUCAGUUU